rnacentral:rRNA from 1 species
AGCGAACGCUGGCGGCAGGCCUAACACAUGCAAGUCGAGCGGAAAGGCCCUUUCGGGGGUACUCGAGCGGCGAACGGGUGAGUAACACGUGAGUAAUCUGCCCCUGGCUUUGGGAUAGCCACCGGAAACGAUGAUUAAUACCGGAUAUGACCACUUUGCGCAUGCGUUGUGGUGGAAAGUUUUUCGGCCAGGGAUGUGCUCGCGGCCUAUCAGCUUGAUGGUGAGGUAAUGGCUCACCAUGGCUUCGACGGGUAGCCGGCCUGAGAGGGUGACCGGUCACACUGGGACUGAGACACGGCCCAGACUCCUACGGGAGGCAGCAGUGGAGAAUAUUGGACAAUGGGCGGAAGCCUGAUCCAGCAACGCCGCGUGAGGGAUGACGGCCUUCGGGUUGUAAACCUCUUUCAGUACCGACGAAGCGUAAGUGACGGUAGGUACAGAAGAAGCACCGGCCAACUACGUGCCAGCCGCCGCAGUAAGAC